rnacentral:rRNA from 1 species
CCUACGGGUGGCUGUAGUGAGGAAUAUUGGUCAAUGGGCGAGAGCCUGAACCAGCCAAGUCGCGUGAAGGAUGACGGCCCUACGGGUUGUAAACUUCUUUUGUCAGGGAGUAAUUGGGUCCACGCGUGGGUUUUGCGAGAGUACCUGAAGAUAAAGCAUCGGUUAACUCCGUGCCAGCAGCCGCGGUAAUAAGGAGGAUGCGAGCGUUAUCCGGAUUUUUUGGGUUUAAAGGGUGCGUAGGCGGAAUAUCAAGUCAGCGGGAAAAAUUCGGGGCUCAACCCCGUCGUGCCGUUGAAACUGGUGUUCUUGAGUGGGCGGGAGGUAUGCGGAAUGCGUGGUGUAGCGGUGAAAUGCAUAGAUAUCACGCAGAACUCCGAUUGCGAAGGCAGCAUACCGGCGCCCAACUGACGCUGAAGCACGAAAGCGUGGGUAUCGAACAGGAUUAGAUACCCCUGUAGUC